rnacentral:antisense_RNA from 1 species
CUUGAUAGUGCCCAGCCGCAACGGCCGGUCCUCCGGGCGGUCCUGACCAUACGUAGCGAUCAGUGCCUGCGCUUC